AGUGAACGCUGGCGGUAGGCCUAACACAUGCAAGUCGAACGGCAGCACAGUAAGAGCUUGCUCUUACGGGUGGCGAGUGGCGGACGGGUGAGGAAUACAUCGGAAUCUACUUUUUCGUGGGGGAUAACGUAGGGAAACUUACGCUAAUACCGCAUACGACCUACGGGUGAAAGCAGGGGAUCUUUGGACCUUGCGCGAUUGAAUGAGCCGAUGUCGGAUUAGCUAGUUGGCGGGGUAAAGGCCCACCAAGACGACGAUCCGUAGCUGGUCUGAGAGGAUGGUAGCCCACCCUGGAGAGGAGACCGGCCCCAGCCUCCUCGGGGAGCGACCAGUGGGGAAUUUGGGACAGGGGGGGCAAGCCUGACCCAGCCAUCCCGGGUGGGUGAAAGAGGCUUUGGGGUUGUAAAGCCUUUUUGUGGGGAAAAAAAAGCAGCAGGUUAAUACCCCGCUGUUCUGACGGUACCAAAAAAAAAAGCACCGGCUAACUUCGUG
rnacentral:rRNA from 1 species